CGUUAACACAGCUCCUCAGUUCAGCCUCUGUCUGAAACAGGCCGUUUUAGCUCCUGUCUCUUUAAGCCCCCCAACAACCUUAGUAAUGAAGGCUCAAACAAAGUGUUCAGAGCAGGUUGCAGCCCUGGCUUUUGACUUGCAGGAAGAAUUUCUAAAUACAUUAACAUCAAGUUUAGAACUUUGAUCAUGUUUAACAUAUAUAUCUGACAUCAUAACAGUAUAUAAACAACAGAAAAUCACAUAAAGCAUAUGUCCCCUUUAAUGACGUACAAACUACUGCUUUAAAUAAGGAAUACUCAACUUGUUUAUAGGAAUUUUGUGAUCAAUAAAUAUGUUAUUUUUUAUGAUACUAGUGCAGCUAAAAGCUGAAUUGUCUUAUAAUACAGAGUGAUCAUACAGAUAUACACAGAAGGCCUGAAACGUCCUUUAUAAGACGUCUGAUAACCAACAGUUGCUUUUGUUUUGAAAAUCCACCCUUAAUGAACCUCCUUCUUCUUCUUGAACUUUUAUGGCAGUUGUCAAAGAGGGAUAUGGUGCAUGACUACUACCAGCCAGAAUGGAGUGGGAUAAUCAUCUAAAGUUUAACAGUUGAGUUAGUUGUGCGUUCACACUAGAAAAGUUACAAAAAUGUAAGAAUACUCAUAGAAGUUUGUAUGUAUAGUACAAGAAAUGUCUGUUCUCUGAGUGUGUAGUGAAGGAGCUUAACCACAGCUGGAGACAAGUUGUAGAUGGUGGUGAGACAACUCCAGGAACACUUCAGAAACAAACUAACGCAAUUAUUCUAUAUCAUGGUAAGAAGUUCUUCUUGGAUACUGAAACAAAUAGGUAACACUUCUAUAAUCAACUUCUCUGCAAAAUAGCUUGUAAAUCAUAAUUGAAUCCUCAUUCAAAACGUUGUGAUCUGGCAGUUUCCCAGCAGCAGAUGACCAGCAGGCUGGAGCAGUGACACCACUCAACAGAAUCUAUAUGCCCUUUACUUUAUUCCAGCUCUAUAAAUAAAUAAACAGGAGGUGGCUUAUCAAGAAGAGAAUAUGAGAACAGUAUGGCACAUAUGAGAAUAGAGAAGUAUGAAGAAUGAAAAAAAAAAACCCUUCUUAUUAUGUGACAGCGGGAGCAGCAGCUAGCUCAUUAGAGUGCAGGAGAUCUCUUACGCCAGGCAGGUGAGGAUACACACAAACUCUAUGAGCGGCUGGCAUUCGGAUGGCGAGGAAGGCCCCGCAUGAUCACACAGUAAAUGAAAUGAAAGCGCACAGGAGUAGUUAGUAUUCACGGCAGUCUAUGUCCUUGUAACGGCAUGGAAUUUUGGUUUUAUCUCAUUGGAGGAUCUCAUCCAUUAUUUAGGAUGCAGGCGCGAACCGACAGACGCUCCUCAAUAAUUCCUAGGGAGCUCGCCUGCCUCUGCCUCUGCUGCUCUCUCUCUCUCUCUCUCUCUCUCUCUCUCUCUCUCUCACACUUUAUCUUCCCACUUUCUCCCUUGUCUUUUUUGAUGACUGUUUUCGGUUUCCCCAGCCGCCCGCUCUCUAAUAUUCCUCCACAAGCGCGUGUUUGGUUGACCUGGACGGGCCUCGGUUAUAUAGUACACGCAUAUAUGCUUAAAGCCUGAGAGGUGCUAGAGGAAAGCAAGUGAUAGAAUCAGACAGAAGUGUGAAGUUGCCUCUCAUGAAUAUGUUAUGCGCAGAAGCUGGAGUGGGUCCCCAUAGUUUGUUAAUUUCCUGUCAGGCUGCUCUAUUAUUCAUGCACAUACUCUGAAUGUGUGAUGUUUGCAUGCAGCUGCAGAGUGCGCACAGGGACCGCCGGUACACUCGGACUGACCCCCCCCCCUCCCGCUGACUUACACACAUACAGCCUCCGAUACUCCCACGUGGCUACCUGAAGCCCGCCGCACAUUGAGAUUCUGUUGACUUCCCCGAGCCUCCGCCUUUCAUGGUGACACCCAGAUAAAGAUUAUCCGUGAUAAAAAUGUUAAUCAGUGGAUUUAUGAGGGAUAAGAUUGUCAUUAUAAAAUGUGCAACACGGCCAUCCUUUACACAGUGUGACUAAAGGUAUUACAGUGUUGUGUUAUUUACAUUUAAUGCAUGCCAAUCCUGAGUCUGGGUACUAACCAGAGUUGAACAACAGGUGGCAGUGUUGCUUUGGAUAGAGAUCUUUGUGGUACACAAAGACUUUCUCUCAAAAAAAACUGUAUAUGUGAUGGCUGAAGACACUCCUAGAAAUAAACAUAAUGACUGACACUGGCAGGGUGAUUGAUUAUGUUGAUCAAGUCUAAAUAUCCAAAAGGUUUCAGUUUGGAGGCCAAACCUGAAAAGAUUUGUCUGAAUAAUCAGAACCGGUGUAUAGUUGGAGGUGAGGUAUGUACAAAACAAAAGGAGGAAAUGAACCAGCGCGUUCUCAUCUGACACGCUCUGUUUAUUAAUCCUUUAACUCAUUGAUUGGAACCUCUUUACAUUUGGAUCAAUUAGUGAGGCAGCUAAGGGUGAGACAUGUAUGGCGAGAGGCAAGCACAAUGUUUCCCUGUCCCCCUUUUUACCUUAUUAUUUAAAAGGAGUGUUGAACGCGCUAUCUUGUUGUUUGUUGUCAAAGCAUCAGACUUCAAGGAAACGGUGGGAAAGGAGAUUUUAGAGUGGGGGUUUUAUGUUAUUUUCAAUUUUUUUUUUUUUUUUAACCAGAGUGUUGUCUGCCCUUGAAUGAGCUUAGGUGUGCUUUGAGAUUUUAUUGUGAUGCAGAGAAGAGGAAGGUCGAAUUAAAAUAAAACCUUUUUUUAAAAAAAAAAAACUGAUGUACUGCUGUCGCUUUCUCUUUGUGUCAGUACAGCCAGAUUCAGCUUUCAUUCCCACACCGGGCCCUCCUUCCAUAUAUGACAGCUGUGACGCAACCACUGGAGAUGAUAACAGCCACUCUAGUCAGCGCUUGUGAUCCCACCAGACGCACCGCAGCAUGUUUCAGAGGCAUCCCAGAAGCGGCUCUCCACUCUGCUCCGCUAAACAAACCUGCCUAGUCUUUUUUUUUGACGGAAGUUGCGUCAAACUGCAGAAUGAGCCGGGCAGGAAGUCAGACACAGGAAUGGCGUAGAGCGUCUGGUCAAUUUUCAAAAUAAAACACCCUGUGCAGA